GCUUGCACAGGUGCUGCAUGGCUGUCGUCAGCUCGUGUCGUGAGAUGUUCGGUUAAGUCCGCUAACGAGCGCAACCCUCGCUGUGUGUUAUAUGUGUCACACGGGACUGCCGGUCUUAAGCCGGAGGAAGUGGGGAUGAUGUCAAGUCAGCAUGGCCUUUAUAUCCUGGGCUACACACACGCUACAAUGGCCAACACAAUAGGUUGCUAAGCCGCGAGGUGGCGCCAAUCCAUAAAGUUGGUCUCAGUUCAGAUUGUAGGCUGCAACCCGCCUGCAUGAAGAUGGAGUUGCUAGUAACCGCAGGUCAGCUAUACUGCGGUGAAUACGUUCCCGGGGCUU
rnacentral:rRNA from 1 species